rnacentral:lncRNA from 1 species
CUUCCCCUGAUUCCCCAUUGGCCCGCGCGUGCAGUUUGAAUUUUUUUUUUGUUGUUUUGUUUUUGGUUGCUUGUUUUCUUGUUAAAAAAAAAAAAAAAAAACAGUACCGUAGAUCAUGUGAUGAGACUUACUUGGGCAGCCUGAGGUAGGGUGCUUUAGCUGGUUUGGUUGAAGGCGGUAGGGAGCAGGAUGGGCGGAGCUUUCUGUUCCAAAAGUUACACCCCCCCACCCCCCCGCCCCGCAAGUGCCGUUGACAGAGUGCAGGCGGGAAGCUUCGGCUGGGGUAGAGAUGUAGCAUCAAACAUUCAUGGAUGUCCAGGGAGCGCGGGCCCAUAGGAUGCUGGCCAGAGGUACUAGGAAGGCGCAGGAGCCGGACGAGGAUGCAUCUUCUUUCCCUGCCUUGGAAAGGGGCUGUUCACAAUGUAUGCUGGACCAUGGUGAGUCCUGAGGUGGUCACAACAGAAGCUUGCCUUGGGCCCAUCUGUCUCCUGCUGCUGUCCACAAGAUGGAGAAGGCGGAAGCAACCUGAGGAGGCCUCUUUGUCUGACACCUCUGCUGAAGUACUGUUAUACAGUGGCUAUUUAAACAUCUAUUGAUGGAGUAAUUUGAAGUCUGCUAUUGUCAGCUCUCCUCAAAGCUGGGCCAUUGAGUAGAUGGGUGCUCUUUGUGCCCAAAGAAACAGCAGCAGGUGAAGGGAUGGAGCAGGAAAUGGUAUCCGCAUCAUAGGAAAGUCAAGCCAACUCCCUGGAGGCAGCUCCAGGGAAAGCAAGUUUUGUUACAUGUGAUUGUCUAAGAAGAUACAUUCGAAGUCUAAAGAAGAUUGCUUUUAACUGGGUAGCAAUG